rnacentral:rRNA from 1 species
GACGAACGCUGGCGGCGUGCUUAACACAUGCAAGUCGAACGGAAAGGCCUUUUCGGAGGUACUCGAGUGGCGAACGGGUGAGUAACACGUGGGUGAUCUGCCCUGCACUCUGGGAUAAGCCUGGGAAACUGGGUCUAAUACCGGAUAGGACCGCACUUUAGUGUGUGUGGUGGAAAGUUUUUUCGGUGUAGGAUGAGCCCGCGGCCUAUCAGCUUGUUGGUGGGGUAAUGGCCUACCAAGGCGGCGACGGGUAGCCGGACUGAGAGGUUGGUCGGCCACAGUGGGACUGGGAUACGGCCCAGACUCCUACGGGAGGCAGCAGUGGGGAAUAUUGCACAAUGGGCGCAAGCCUGAUGCAGCGACGCCGCGUGGGGGAUGACGGCCUUGGGGUUGUAAACUCCUUUCGCCAGGGACGAAGCGUUUUGUGACGGUACCUGGAGAAGAAGCACCGGCUAACUACGUG